UACGUAGGGUGCAAGCGUUAAUCGGAAUUACUGGGCGUAAAGCGUGCGCAGGCGGUUUUGUAAGUCUGAUGUGAAAUCCCCCGGGCUCAACCUGGGAAUUGCAUUGGAGACUGCAAGGCUAGAAUCUGGCAGAGGGGGGGUAGAAUUCCACGUGUAGCAGUGAAAUGCGUAGAUAUGUGGAGGAACACCGAUGGCGAAGGCAGCCCCCUGGGUCAAGAUUGACGCUCAUGCACGAAAGCGUGGGGAGCAAACAGG
rnacentral:rRNA from 1 species